rnacentral:lncRNA from 12 species
UUCCAGCAUUUAGAUUGCAACGUGUCCUUAAGCCUGGGGAGGAGGCAGCUGUGGGUAGGAUAAAAAGUAGACUUGCAAAAUGAACUGUCAGCCUCUGGAGGUUGGGGCAGCCGUGGCGGAGGGGGUGGGUGGGUGCUAGGUCCAUUCAUUCCUCAGCCAUUCAUUCAUUCAACAUUUGUCACAGGUCCAGCAUACCCUGGGCUCAAUGCCAGGCUCUGGGGACCCAGAGAGAAACCGGCCAGACAGGGACAGAGGCUCUGUUGGACACGGGGGGUAGGGGGGGAGGUUGGAGGGGGGGUAAGGAUGAGCACAUGCAAACUGGUUCACUGAGCCCACAUUUCUUUGUUUCUUGGCAGGAGAAAGAAGUGCUCGUAGAGGAACAGCAGGUUCUCUCCACUUCGAGAUGGGCAAGACACCCAAGCGAAGUUCUGCAGAAAGCAGAUCUAGCAAUGUGACAAUAACACGUGUCACUGUCAGCCCAAGCCCUGCUGGAAACGCCUUGAAAACUACGUGGAGGUUCAGAAAAUAAACAGCCGUCGCUCUGAUUCCGGUGAUAAAAU